UACGGAGGGUGCAAGCGUUAUCCGGAUUCACUGGGUUUAAAGGGUGCGUAGGCGGGCAGUUAAGUCAGUGGUGAAAUCUUCGAGCUCAACUCGGAAACUGCCAUUGAUACUAUCUGUCUUGAAUAUUGUGGAGGUGAGCGGAAUAUGUCAUGUAGCGGUGAAAUGCUUAGAUAUGACAUAGAACACCAAUUGCGUAGGCAGCUCGCUACACAAAUAUUGACGCUGAGGCACGAAAGCGUGGGGAUCAAACAGG
rnacentral:rRNA from 1 species